rnacentral:rRNA from 1 species
GACGGAGGAUGCAAGUGUUAUCCGGAAUCACUGGGCGUAAAGCGUCUGUAGGUGGUUUAAAAAGUCCACUGUUAAAAAUUGAAGCUUAACUUCAAAGAUGCCGUGGAAACUUUUAAACUUGAGUAUGAUGGGGGUAGAGGGAAUUUCCAGUGGAGCGGUGAAAUGCGUAGAUAUUGGAAAGACCACCAAUGGCGAAGGCACUCUACUGGGCCAUUACUGACACUGAGAGACGAAAGCUAGGGGAGCGAAUGGG